rnacentral:rRNA from 1 species
AUGAGCUAUUCUAAAAGUGACAUUAUUAUGUGGAUCUUCCAAAAACAAGAAGUAAAUAAUGUUGUUGUCUUAUGGCUGUUGUUUCUAGUGCUGGCAUCAUGGUUCAGGCUCAAGUACCCUCAUGUCGCCAUGGGGGCCCUGGCGUCCUCUGCACCAAUCCUGCAGUUCGACGACAUCACGCCAUGGUCAGGCUUCAAAGACACUGUCACGCAGGACUUCAAGUUCGAGAGCCUGAAUUGCUUCAGUGUCAUCAAGGCGGUCUGGGAUGUGUUAGAUGACAGGGGAUCAAACGAGACAGGGCUCUUGGAGCUAAGCAAAACCUUCAGAACCUGCAAGACCAUGCAGUCCACUGAUUCGCUGACAAACUUUCUAUAUACGGCAUUCAUCUACACGGCCAUGACGGACUAUCCAACUCCAGCCAAUUUCCUGCAAAAUCUGCCUGCUUAUCCUGUCAAAGAGAUGUGCAAGAUCAUUGAUUCUUUUCCCGCGGGAGCAGACGUCAUCGAAAAAGCUUUCGCAGCGGCGAGCCUGUACUACAAUUACACAGGCGACCAGAAGUGCUUCCAGGUGGAAGGUGGGGAUGACCCCCAUGGCCUCAGCGGCUGGGACUGGCAGGCCUGCACAGAGAUGGUCAUGCCAACGACUGUCUCGAAUGAGAGCAUGUUUCCACCAUUCAACUUCAGCUACGAGGAGAGGUCCGAGAGGUGCCUUGCCAGCUAUGGAGUUCGUCCGAGGAUGCACUGGAUCACUACUGAAUAUGGUGGCCAUAAAAUUGACAAAGUUCUCAAGAGGUUUGGGAGCAACAUUAUCUUCUCCAACGGGAUGCGAGACCCGUGGAGUCGAGGCGGGGUGCUCAAGAACAUAUCAUCCAGCAUCAUUGCUCUUGUCACAGAGAAAGGGGCCCAUCAUUUGGACUUCAGAUCUGCAACCAAGGAUGACCCAGACUGGGUUGUAGAACAAAGGAGACAGGAAGUUGAGAUCAUACAUGGAUGGGUAGAUCAGUAUAACAAGGACAUUGCACAGAUGUAG